rnacentral:rRNA from 1 species
UGCCAGCCGCCGCGGUAAUACUGAAGGUCCAAGCGUUAAUCGGAAUCACUGGGCUUAAAGCGUACGCAGGCGGAUUUGUAGGUAUUUUGUGAAAUCCCACGGCUCAACCGUGGAACUGCAGAGUAAACCACAAAUCUUGAGACAAGUAGGGGUCAGUGGAACCAUGAGUGGAGCGGUGAAAUGCGUAGAUAUUCGGAGGAACACCAGUGGCGAAGGCGGCUCACUGGCUCGAUACUGACGCUGAGGUACGAAAGUGUGGGGAGCAAACAGGAUUAGAUA